UGGCAUUGCCAGGAACUUCAUUUAUCCCUUCAUUCCAUUCCAGCUCUGAACCAUACUUUAUGUAACUCUCAACGGUCACACCACUAACUUUAACUCAUACCGGACAGAACCUUUACGGAUGAAUAUAUCCUUGAAGGUCAGGUUGAAGGUUGUACUCUCGGCCUGGAAAAUACAUUUACAUCAACCUCGCUUUCUGCUUCCUGAUCACACAUUUAAUAAGAAUUAGUAAAAGACUAAUUACAGGUUCAAUAACUAGUAGAUGCCAGAUUUAAGGAAAUUAUACUACACGGAGGUUUUCUUCUAUCCAUAGAUAAAAUUUUAGUGUGUGCAAAACAUGGAAUACAACUUCAAGUAUCCACAAGAGAAAAAUUGUGGUAAUAAUUUAAACGAUUCUCCUCAAGUCCAGUCAAAACCAGAUGAAAGCAUUUUGAGAGUUGGACCAAGACAAACCUCUGCUAAAAUAUUUAAGCAACAAUGGGUUGGACGUUGAAAUGUUGACACACAUUCCCUGCUCACUCCAGGCCAAAUUAAAAUGUUGACACACAUUCCCUGCUCACUCCAGGCCAAAAAUAACUAUGGGACGGAGGGAGUACUAGUUUGGAAGAUUGAAAGACAAAUUAUAUAACAAGGCAGGGACAUCUUUGAUCUUACCAUCCAUCCAUCCACAUAAUUAACUUAAAAAGAUGGCAACUGGCCUGGUGCACAUCAAAACUGUAAUUGUAGCAGCGUGCCGGACGCCAUUCAUUCAUCUAAAUAAAUAAGACUUUUUUGUGGAUCAGAGUAGUACACAUAAACAUAAACAUAAUGCUAUGGUUCCUUGGGUGAGGGGAGCAUAUGGAAUAACUAAUUCCAGCUUAAAAAAUGAUUACGCAUGAAAAACAACUGCAUGCAUGUUCCAGGACGAUAUCUACAAUUAAUGCUGUUGAGAACAUCAUCCCAUUUGAAUUCUUCCAUUGUGACAAAAACUGGCCACCUCCACUCAUCCAAAUCUCCUUCAAAUAAACAAUAAAAGGGGUUAUUAAUUUAAAUCCCAGACAACAAUGAUAAUUCUAAUAAAUUAACAUUCACAUGCAUUACUUCUUCCCCAUCAAAAUUUCCCAGGUAAACAGGUUUCUCUUUAAAUUUUGUUCUGCAAACUAAACUAUAUAUGAGAAUUCUAUUCUAUUUUCAUUUUUAUUUUUUGGAAAAAUGAAACUUUAAACAGUAAUCCCAUAUGAUAUAUAUCCUUCCUUCAUUAUAGAUAUUUUCCUUUUUGAAGUAGAUUAAAACUUAUGUUUAAUGUUUUCUCCUUGUAUUACUAAUUAAAACAGUUACUAAGCUUCCUAAAUUUUUACCUCCUGAGAAGAAAGCAUGGGAGAAAUUGACACAAAAUCCAUUGAAUCAGUCCAAGCUGCACUGUCCUUGUUUGGUGAGAAAAGUGAUCAGAAAAUAAGAUUGCCUGCCUGCAACAAUGUAUGUUGAAACGAAUUAUAUUCAUUCCAUAAUCAAUCAUAUUCAACUUUACUGCUUAUAAAAAAAACAGUGAUUUACUUCAAAACUGAUUCUAUAAGUUUGCAGUAUCAAAUAAACUCACGGUAUCAAUCAUUCAAUCUAGGAGAAUUCGGUUGAACUAAUUAAAACUCUAUCUGCUGAAAUACAAUUUCUAAAAAUGUCAGUUUUUUUUUUACUAUAAUUCAAACUUUCCUAUAAGAUCAAUAUUUAUGCCAAUACUUUUUCUUGCGUCUUUAAUCAGCAACUAGACAAAGAAAAAGAGCUUGAAGACCUAUUGAAGGACCUGACAAACUUUAAAUUUCAACUGGAUGCAAAGAACUCUGCCCACAAGCAAACCCUCCUUAGAUUAGAUCACUAUCGAAAAACUGCGGAUGAACUUUUUAUCCUGUUGAAGAGCACCGAGUUUGAGAGAGAUAUAUACGUUAAUGAAUGCAGAGAAGCUAGAACGGGGAUAGACGACGAACUUGAAUCCAAGAUAAAGGUGAUGGAAGAACAAUUUUCAGAAAGCG
rnacentral:lncRNA from 1 species